GACGAACCGUCCAAACGUUAUUCGGAAUCACUGGGCUUACAGAGUUCGUAGGCGGUCUGGAAAGUUGGGUGUGAAAUCCCUCGGCCUAACCGAGGAACUGCGCUUGAAACUACCAGACUCGAGGGAGAUAGAGGAAAGCGGAACUGAUGGUGGAGCGGUGAAAUGCGUUGAUAUCAUCAGGAACACCGGUGGCGAAGGCGGCUUUCUGGGUCUUACCUGACGCUGAGGAACGAAAGCGUGGGGAGCAAACAGG
rnacentral:rRNA from 1 species